rnacentral:tRNA from 1 species
GAGGGUAUAGCUCAGUGGUAGAGUGCAUGCCUAGCAUGAAUGAGGUCCUAGGUUCAAUCCCCAGUACCUCCA